UACGUAGGGUGCAAGCGUUGUCCGGAAUUAUUGGGCGUAAAGAGCGUGUAGGCGGCCAGGUAGGUCUGCUGUGAAAACUCGAGGCUCAACCUCGAGACGUCGGCGGAAACCAUCUGGCUAGAGUCCGGAGGAGGAGAGUGGAAUUCCUGGUGUAGCGGUGAAAUGCGCAGAUAUCAGGAAGAACACCCGUGGCGAAGGCGGCUCUCUGGGACGGUACUGACGCUGAGACGCGAAAGCCAGGGGAGCAAACGGG
rnacentral:rRNA from 1 species